GACGAACGCUGGCGGCGUGCUUAACACAUGCGAGUCGAACGGAAAGGCCCUGCUUUUGUGGGGUGCUCGAGUGGCGAACGGGUGAGUAACACGUGAGUAACCUGCCCUUGACUUUGGGAUAACUUCAGGAAACUGGGGCUAAUACCGGAUAGGAGCUCCUGCUGCAUGGUGGGGGUUGGAAAGUUUCGGCGGCUGGGGAUGGACUCGCGGCUUAUCAGCUUGUUGGUGGGGUAGUGGCUUACCAAGGCUUUGACGGGUAGCCGGCCUGAGAGGGUGACCGGCCACAUUGGGACUGAGAUACGGCCCAGACUCCUACGGGAGGCAGCAGUGGGGAAUAUUGCACAAUGGGCGGAAGCCUGAUGCAGCAACGCCGCGUGCGGGAUGACGGCCUUCGGGUUGUAAACCGCUUUCGCCUGUGACGAAGCGUGAGUGACGGUAAUGGGUAAAGAAGCACCGGCUAACUACGUG
rnacentral:rRNA from 1 species